CACGUAGGGCGCGAGCGUUGUCCGGAUUCAUUGGGCGUAAAGAGCUCGUAGGCGGCUUGAUAAGUCGGAUGUGAAACCUCCAGGCUCAACCUGGAGUCGCCAUCCGAUACUGCCAUGGCUAGAGUCCGGUAGGGGCCCACGGAAUUCCUGGUGUAGCGGUGAAAUGCGCAGAUAUCAGGAGGAACACCGGUGGCGAAGGCGGUGGGCUGGGCCGGCACUGACGCUGAGGAGCGAAAGCGUGGGGAGCGAACAGG
rnacentral:rRNA from 1 species